AGCAGCCGCGGUAAUUCCAGCUCCAAUAGCGUAUAUUAAAGUUGUUGCAGUUAAAAAGCUCGUAGUUGAAUUUCGGGGUUAGCAGGUCGGUCGUGCCAUCGGUAUGAACUGGUCUCGCUGAUCCCUCCCUCUUGACGAACUGUGAUGCCAUUAAUUUGGUGUCGCAGGGAAUCAGGACUGUUACUUUGAAAAAAUUAGAGUGUUUAAAGCAGGCUCACGCUUGAAUACAUUAGCAUGGAAUAAUGAAAUAGGACGUUUGAUCCUAUUUUGUUGGCUUCUAGGAUUGACGUAAUGAUUAAUAGGGAUAGUUGGGGGCAUUAGUAUUCAAUUGUCAGAGGUGAAAUUCUUGGAUUUAUUGAAGACUAACUACUGCGAAAGCAUUUGCCAAGGAUGUUUUCAUUAAUCAAGAACGAAAGUUAGGGGAUCGAAGACGAUCAGAUACCGUCGUAGUCUUAACCAUAACUAUGCCGACUAGGGAUCGGAUGAUGUAAUUUUUAAUGACU
rnacentral:rRNA from 1 species